UUGAGUUUCAAUUUCAACCUCCAUUUCUUCUCCCUUCUCAGUUUUUAGGUUAUUACUUCUUGAAGAUUGUUUUGCUAUGGAUCAUUUUGAGGAUGAACAUGCUGAUGAACUCCAAUUCGAAGAGGAAGAAGUCGAAGGUUGUCCAUUUUUAUUUUUUUUAUUUUUUUGGAAACGUGGUACUUUUUCAUUUUAUUAUGGUUUUUAGUUUCAGUUUUUGGUUUUGUAGUCUAACUAUUAUGAUGCCCAAAUUGAUAAUUGUUUUUUGGUUUUUAGUUUGAGUUUAUGGUUUUUUAUCGGAACCCAGAUGGAAAAUCUUUCGAAAUCGAGCUCCAAAAGGCUCUGCAUGUCAUUGGGAAUUGCUCAUCGGAAUUGGGUUUCUGAGUUUUUGAAGAAUAAUUAACUGAGGAUUUAGUGCUAAUUGACCCAAUUCACAUUAAUUGUUUAAUGUCAGUAAAAUGUUAAAAAUCUAGCAAAGAUAGAAUUAUGGAACUUUUGUUAAGAUGGAUGGAUUAUCAUAUAAGCUUAGAUCUUAAAUUUUGAAACUUUUUCGAAGCAUGUGCGUAAUUUAUGUGUUAAAUGUGCUUCUUCAAAUUACUGGUAAGUGAUGAGAAAUCUGUUUUAGUUUUUACUGCAUAAAUGUUGUUGAAAGUGUUUAGCUCAGAGAGUCAGCGAGAUUCUCUUUCUCCUUCUGCGUCAGUAGACAUCAUCGUCUUCGUCGUCGCUGAGCUACAACCAGCAGAGCAAUGGAGCAGCAGAGCAAUCAGAAGACUGCCCAACAACAAGACGAACUCGAAGAAAUGCGGCAUGGCCCUGUCCCCGUCGAACAACUUCAGGUGAACCCAUUUCGAUUUCACACUCAUUUUGAGCAAGUCAGUGGGUUCCCCAUGCGGGUUCUUCUUCAAUCUACUUCCGAUGGGGUUUUCUUGUCUAGAUUCUUUGUUCCCUUCAAAAAUUUAAGAAAUGGGUUUUCAUUUUCUAUGAAAUUAUGUUUGAAUUUCUGUGAAUUGUUGUUAAAGAUUCUAUAUUUCAUAUGGGUUUUGCGAUUUACUGUGAAUUAUUGUUGGGUUUUGUUCUUUACCCACUAUGAGAAAACCUAGCCAGCAACAGACCUGGUUUUGGCUACCAAUUUCAUAUGGGUUUGAUCAUUUUGGUUAUUAUUAAUUAAAAACGGAUUUUUUUAUUAUUAAUAUAUUUGGUGUCGCUUAUGGACGACAGUAGCUUAAUUAUUUUAUUUAUCUAAAUGGUAGGUAAUGUCGGUUACAACCGACAUUAGCUUGACUAUUUUAUUUAUUUAAGUUAGGUGAUGUCAGUUUGAACCGACAGUAAGUGUGAUAUUUUAAUUGUUUAUUUGUUACUUAAUGUCGGUUUGAACAUCCAUCAUAUCAAAUUUCCAUGUCGCUUUUAAGCGACGUAAGAACCGAUGUCGCUUUUAAGCGACGUUGUUGUUCUUUUUUUAUUUUAUAUUACUUUCCUUCUUCGUGGCGGAUUAAGGAAGAUAAGCGACGUCAAUAUCCUUUUGUGACGGUA
rnacentral:lncRNA from 1 species